rnacentral:rRNA from 1 species
CACUCCUACGGGAGGCAGCAGUGGGGAAUUUUGGACAAUGGGCGAAAGCCUGAUCCAGCAAUGCCGCGUGAGUGAAGAUGGCCUUCGGGUUGUAAAGCUCUUUUGUCAGGGAAGAAACGGUGAAAGCUAAUAUCUUUUGCUAAUGACGGUACCUGAAGAAUAAGCACCGGCUAACUACGUGCCAGCAGCCGCGGUAAUACGUAGGGUGCAAGCGUUAAUCGGAAUUACUGGGCGUAAAGCGUGCGCAGGCGGUUUUGUAAGUCUGAUGUGAAAUCCCCGGGCUCAACCUGGGAAUUGCAGUGGAGACUGCAAGGCUAGAAUCUGGCAGAGGGGGGUAGAAUUCCACGUGUAGCAGGGAAAUGCGUAUAUAUGUGGAGGAACACCGAUGGCGAAGGCAGCCCCCUGGGUCAAGAUUGACGCUCAUGCACGAAAGCGUGGGGAGCAAACAGGAUUAGAUACCCUUGUAGUCCCA